GUAGGGUGCGAGCGUUAAUCGGAAUUACUGGGCGUAAAGCGUGCGCAGGCGGUUAUGUAAGACAGAUGUGAAAUCCCCGGGCUCAACCUGGGAACUGCAUUUGUGACUGCAUGGCUAGAGUACGGUAGAGGGGGAUGGAAUUCCGCGUGUAGCAGUGAAAUGCGUAGAUAUGCGGAGGAACACCGAUGGCGAAGGCAAUCCCCUGGACCUGUACUGACGCUCAUGCACGAAAGCGUGGGGGGAGCAAACAGGAUUAGAUACCCUGGUAGUCCACGCCCUAAACGAUGUCAACUGGUUGUUGGGAAUUAGUUUUCUCAGUAACGAAGCUAACGCGUGAAGUUGACCGCCUGGGAGUACGGCCGCAAGGUUG
rnacentral:rRNA from 1 species